AAAAUUUUUUGCUGCUGUCGCUGUGGUUUGCGUGAAGGUGCCAUCGACCAGAUCCGCAAAAGGAAGGCAGACGACGAUAAUCAUGGACUGGCCGGGUCUCCUAAGAGUGAUGGUCCACACACUGAGCGCACCAACCAGAAGGAAAAAAAAAACAAAAUCGGUGGUUAAUACACCUGGCUUGAGAAAACAUUCGUAUUCUCUUCGGUCAGGCGAAGGCAUGGACGUCUCCGAAGAAGUAAACAAUGUUCCCACCCCCUCGUACGCUGGCAUUGAGAUGCGCGACAUUAAUGAGGAUGCCAAUGCUGUGAGUCCACGAUUUCAUAGAGCAGACGCCGUUGAGAUGCAGGAAAUUUUCGCAUCAAUCCCAAGAAACGAUGCAACCUCUCCUGUAAAACCCUGCAAUGCUGUCAUUAUGUACCAGGAACCUGUAUUUGUUCUUCUACAAAGAUAUGUGUCACCACAAAAAAUGUUGUCCUGUCUUUGUAAAAAUUUUAGCGUGUCCUCAGCGAUUUUAAUGAUCAAUAUGGAAGUUUUAACAACAUUCAUGCAUGUUGCCGUUAAAAAAAAACAACAUUCAUGUUGACACUG